rnacentral:rRNA from 1 species
UGGGGAAUAUUGCACAAUGGGCGCAAGCCUGAUGCAGCCAUGCCGCGUGUGUGAAGAAGGCCUUCGGGUUGUAAAGCACUUUCAGCGAGGAGGAAGGUGGUGAGCUUAAUACGCUCAUCAAUUGACGUUACUCGCAGAAGAAGCACCGGCUAACUCCGUGCCAGCAGCCGCGGUAAUACGGAGGGUGCAAGCGUUAAUCGGAAUUACUGGGUGUAAAGCGCACGCAGGCGGUUUGUUAAGUCAGAUGUGAAAUCCCCGGGCUCAACCUGGGAACUGCAUUUGAAACUGGCAAGCUAGAGUCUCGUAGAGGGGGGUAGAAUUCCAGGUGUAGCGGUGAAAUGCGUAGAGAUCUGGAGGAAUACCGGUGGCGAAGGCGGCCCCCCUGGACGAAGACUGACGCUCAGGUGCGAAAGCGUGGGGCAGCAAACAGGAUUAGAUACCCUGGUAGUCCAGCGCUGUAAAACGAUGUCGAUUUGGAGGUUGUGCCCUUGAGGCGUGGCUUCCGGAGCUAACGCGUUAAAUCGACCGCCUGGGGAGUACGGCCGCAAGGUU